GCAAGUCGAACGGUAACAGGCAAAGCUUGCUUUGCGCUGACAAGUGGCGGACGGGUGAGUAACGCGUGGGAAUCUGCCUACUAGCGGGGGAUAGCCCGGAGAAAUCCGGAUUAAUACCGCAUACGCCCUACGGGGGAAAGCUGGGGAUCUUCGGACCUGGCACUAGUAGAUGAGCCCGCGUUGGAUUAGCUUGUUGGUGGGGUAAUGGCCUACCAAGGCAACGAUCCAUAGCUGUUCUGAGAGGAAGAUC
rnacentral:rRNA from 1 species